AUUGAACGCUGGCGGCAGGCUUAACACAUGCAAGUCGAGCGGAGACUUCGGUCUUAGCGGCGAACGGGUGAGUAAUACCUAGGAAUCUGCCUAUUAGUGGGGGAUAACGAAUCGAAAGGUUCGCUAAUACCGCAUACGUCCUACGGGAGAAAGGGGGGAGUCUUCGGACCUCUCGCUAAUAGAUGAGCCUAGGCCGGAUUAGCUAGUUGGUAGGGUAAAGGCCUACCAAGGCGACGAUCUGUAGCUGGUCUGAGAGGAUGGCCAGCCACACUGGAACUGAGACACGGUCCAGACUCCUACGGGAGGCAGCAGUGGGGAAUAUUGGACAAUGGGGGCAACCCUGAUCCAGCCAUGCCGCGUGUGUGAAGAAGGCCUUCGGUUGUAAGCACUUUAAGUCGAGGAGGAAGGUUUUAGGUUUUAA
rnacentral:rRNA from 1 species